GGGUGCUGCAGCUGCUGUGAGGUUCACAGGAGCCUUGGAGGGGGUUGAUGGGAGACUGCCAGGCGCCGCUUAAUAGGAUUUUAAUUAUACAGCUCCAGUAAGAAUUUUUUCCCCCCUGGGCUUGGGCCCUCACAGGCACCUCCAUCUCCACCUCAGCAUCUUCCCAGCCGGGGGCAGCCCACUCUCCCAGGCCCCCCGCUGGCAGCCCUCACCCACGGAGGGGGGAACGCUGGCCUAUCUCCGAGAGGCUCAGGGAGGGCCUGGCAUCUGCCCCCCAGUAAUCUUGGGCUCCUAGGGAGGAGGGCCUUGCUGUAGGGAGCUGCUCCUGUGAGAUCUACAUCCGGGACUCCGCGUGGCCAGAACAGGGUGUGACGGCCACUCAGCAACCUGAUGGCCUCGGUGCUCAUUUUUCCAGGGUGAUUCUGCCCCACGCUGGGCCCUUUUGCGAUGAUUGUCUCAUGUGACGCUUACGACUCGGCAAGGCAAGCCGGGCAGAUGGAGUGAUAAUCUCCACUUUACGGAUGAGGAAACUGAGGCCCCAAGAACAAUGUCAACAGUCACCGGCACAUCAGUGUGACCGACUUUCUCAGCAGCAGCAUUUUGAGACUGCCUCUGCCAAUCCCAGGCAAAGGAGGAAAAGUGAAUGAAGAUGAUGUCUGCUCUCCCUGGCCGUCCCUGUCCCUCCGCUUGUCAAGCCUUUUCCUGGGGAGGGGAGUCCAGGAGCAAAGGACAGUAGGGGUGGAUCUCAAAGUUGUGGGUAUCCGUGACACUGUGAGGGGGGACCCCCGAUCUCCAUCUGCUGUGGGGCUUAAGCCCAGGAGAAGCUGUGGAGCUGACUGGAGUGGGAUGGAGUACGGCAUCGUGGCCGGCUGCCGUGGCACGAGAUGAAAGGCCGAGAGUGGGGCUGUUGGCAGACGGACAGGCGGGCCGAGUGGAGGCGUGGGGUGGGGGAGGGGAGAUAACCAUCUGCAA